UUUCCGUAGGUGAACCUGCGGAAGGAUCAUUCAUAAUAAGUGUUUUAUGGCACUUUUUUAAAUACAUAUCCACCUUGUGUGCAAUGUCAGGGUUGAUUUUUCUCUCGAGAGGAUCAACCCCAAACAUCAACUAUAUCUCAACUCUUUGUCUGAAAAAUAUUAUGAAUAAAACAAUUCAAAAUACAACUUUCAACAACGGAUCUCUUGGCUCUC
rnacentral:misc_RNA from 1 species